UACGUAGGGGGCUAGCGUUGUCCGGAUUUAUUGGGCGUAAAGAGCGUGUAGGCGGCCAGGUAGGUCUGCUGUGAAAACUCGAGGCUCAACCUCGAGACGUCGGCGGAAACCAUCUGGCUAGAGUCCGGAAGAGGAGAGUGGAAUUCCUGGUGUAGCGGUGAAAUGCGCAGAUAUCAGGAAGAACACCCGUGGCGAAGGCGGCGCACUGGUCCAUUACUGACGCUGAGGUGCGAAAGCGUGGGGAGCAAACAGG
rnacentral:rRNA from 1 species